rnacentral:rRNA from 1 species
GAGGAUGAAGGUCUUCGGAUUGUAAACUCCUGUUGAUCGGGACGAACAUCCAUCGGGCUAACACCCCGGAGGACUGACGGUACCGGUUGAGGAAGCCCCGGCUAACUCUGUGCCAGCAGCCGCGGUAAUACAGAGGGGGCAAGCGUUGUUCGGAAUUACUGGGCGUAAAGGGUUCGUAGGUGGCCAACUAAGUCAGACGUGAAACCCCUCGGCUCAACCGGGGAACUGCGUCUGAGACUGGAUGGCUUGAGUACAGGAGAGGAACGCGGAAUUCCAGGUGUAGCGGUGAAAUGCGUAGAUAUCUGGAGGAACACCGGUGGCGAAGGCGGCGUUCUGGACUGUUACUGACACUGAGGAACGAAAGCCAGGGGAGCAAACGGGAUUAGAUACCCCGGUAGUCCUGGCCCUAAACGAUGAAUGCUUGGUGUGGCGGGUAUCGAUCCCUGCCGUGCCGCAGUUAACGCGUUAAGCAUUCCGCCUGGGGAGUACGGUCGCAAGGCUG